rnacentral:lncRNA from 1 species
UUCGUGACCAACACCCCAGGCAAGGCUUGGGGCCCCCGUCUGCUGCUGGACAGUAAGUCCUGGCCCCGUGGCAGUGAAUCUGUGGGGUGCUCUGAUUGUGGGCACUAUGGAAGCUAAACCCCAUGCUCCAGGUGGGGUGGAGGGCCUUCAGAGGACUCCUGGACAGUGCCAGGCUCUAGGCUGAGGUGGGGGACACAGGAGAAACCAGGCCAGGCCCAUCCCUACUGGAGCUUCUCCCUAAGCAGUGGAGGCUCAGCCACUGUGAGGAGGUAGGCAAGGCCCUGCAGAAAGAGGGGUGUGGAAAUCUGGGGGCUCCCAGGAAGGGCCGCUGCUGGAGAUGGGGUUCUUACCAGGAUGGGCUCUGAAGAUAAGCAGGGAGGAUUUGGGAGGGCAGAGAUGAGGCCCAGAGCUUCUGGCAGAGGGCAUGGCCUGCACAAAGGUCUGGGGGCCGGACAGCCUGCACGUGUUCUGGGAAGCGGGAAGGAGACACAGGCCUUGUGUUUCUGAGGCCCAACUUUAGACUGUGCCCUGCUGGGGAGGUGCCAGGGAAUGUCUGAGGCUGGGCCUGACCCUGCUCCUUACCCCAUGGGAGCAGCAGAGCCAUGAAGAAGAAGUUAGUGGUGCUGGGCCUGCUGGCCGUGGUCCUGGUGCUGGUCAUUGUCGGCCUCUGUCUCUGACUGCCCUCAGCCUCCAAGGAACCUGACAACCAUGUGUACACCAGGGCUGCCGUGGCUGCAGAUGCCAAGCAGUGCUCGGAGAUUGGGAGGAGGGCUGUCGGUGGCAGUGCCUGGGGAGAUCCGAGGCUAUGAGCUGGCACACCAGCAGCAUGGGCGGCUGCCCUGGGCUCGCCUCUUCCAGCCCAGCAUCCAGCUGGCCCGCCAGGGCUUCCCCGUGGGCAAGGGCUUGGCAGCAGCCCUGGAAAACAAGCGGACCGUCAUCGAGCAGCAGCCUGUCUUGUGGUAUGUCUGUGGGUGCAGCCCCCUGACACAGGCAGGGCAGGCACAGCCCAAGGACCUUGCAGGCCGUAGCAGCAGUGGAGCGGCCCUCUGCCUUCAGGACCCUGCGCUGAUAAUGGGAUGAGGAGAUACAGACCCUUCCCACCACAUGUGGGGACACAUUCUGAGCAUGGGGUCCCAGUGGCCACUGUGGCUGGCCAUGUGUCCUGAGUGGCAAGGGACACUAGGAGGUUCCCGGAAGGGACACUAGGAGGACGAGCGCUGAGUGACAGGGCCACCCACCCGUGACAGGCGCUGCCCCUGCUUUGUGCUGGUCUCCUGUGUGGGCAGGUGUGGGGGUUGGUCUAGCUAAGUCCACCCCACCUGCUGCCUCACAUGAGCCCCCUCUGCCCCAGUGAGGUGUUCUGCCGGGAUAGAAAGGUGCUUUGGGAGGGGGAGAGACUGAUCCUGCUGCGGCUGGCUGACACCUAUGAGACGCUGGCCAUUGAGGGUGCCCAGGCCUUCUACAACGGCAGCCUCAUGGCCCAGAUUGUGAAGGACAUCCAGGCGGCUGGUGAGUGGGUAACCUCAAGGGCCUGGGUGAGGAACUCUGCAGUGGAAACCCUGAGCUGUAGCCCAGAGCCAUGGGGUCCUCCUGUCUUGCCUGAGCCUGCAGGAAGUUCCUGGUGGAGGAGGGUCAGUGACUGGCCAUGUGGGUCCACAGCUCCUGCUUAUAUCAAAACCAAGAGAGGCCACACAGUCCAGGAGAGCAAGUCCCUGUUGGGGUAAAUGCAGGUGUAGGCAAGAGCCAGGGCUAGGGAAGCGCUAGAAUACAGCCUGAAGAUCCAGGAGGACUUCUUGGAGGAGGUGGUGGCUGGGCUGCAGAUAACUUCGUUAGGCAGAGAGAGGAAGGGAUUCCUAGCAGAGGAACAGCUGGGCUAAGGCCCAGUAGAGGGGGCUUUGAUUCACCAAGAGGGUUACAAGGGAUGAGGGUUGCUUUGAGAGAGGCAUGGGGAAGGGGAUUUGUGGAGCAGGGGCCUGGAGCUUGGCUGUGGCUUUCUUCAGGUAAUUUUUGUCACUGUUUCAUGGAGGAGGGUGAUUAGCGUGUCAACCUUUACCACUGAGGCUGGAAAUUGGCAUGCCAAUACCCUGUCUGUCUGGAGCUGACUCCAGGAGAAUUAAGAGCCUCCCUCCCUCCCUCUAUCCAUUCAUCGUGAGGAGAAGAGGCCAAGCAGCAGGGACACCGGCAGGAAUUCUCCAGUUAGAAAAGGCCCUCUGAGCCAGGUGCGGUGGCUCACGUCUGUAAUCCCAGCACUUUGGGAGGCCGAGGUGGGUGGAUCACCUGAGGUCAGGAGUUCAAGACCAGCCUGGCCAACAUGGUGAAACCCUGUCUCUACUAAAAAUGCAAAAUUAGUCAGGCAUGGUGGGUUGUGCCUGUAAUCCCAGCUACUUGGGAGGCUGUGGCAGGAGAAUCGCUAGAACCUGGGGGGCUGAGGUUGCAGUGAGCCGAGAUUGCACCACUGCACUCCACAGAGUGAGACUCCAUCUC